rnacentral:rRNA from 1 species
UGGCUUGCGACGCAUAAUAGAUGUUGGACCUCGGAUAGACUCGCUAGGCGCGGAUUAGAUCAUCAAGACGCAUGCCCCUUUUGCAAUCAACACGAGGAGACCAUCGAUCAUCUUCUUCGUGGCUGUGUCUUCGCGAGAGAAGUUUGGUCUGUCAUAUGCGGAGCACUUGAUAGGCCACAGUGGACGCCGAGCCAGGACUUGAGGCUGCGAGACUGGUGUGUCGUCAUUGCUACUCAUGGCCAAGGGGCAAAGGACACACGUGCAAUCUUACUACUCAUGCUAUGGGAGAUUUGGAAGCACCGAAACGCGAUUGUCUUCGAUGGCGCCACCCUUUCUUCGAGGGCGCUCGCAAACAAAAUUGACACCGAGGGACACACAUGGAAGCAAGCUAGCAUCUUAAAAGGAAAUGUAGAGCCUCUCCUUGAAGGGCUAGUCAGGUGGGCUGAGGGGAGAUGUUAG